rnacentral:rRNA from 1 species
GAGAUCGGCGGGGAGGGGGGGGGGGUAGUGCGGAGGUGGCAUGCGGUAUCCGGCAUGACGGGGGUUAAAGGGUGCGUAGGCGGCUUGAUAAGUCAGAGGGGAAAGCCCGCAGCGUAACUGCGGAACGGGCUUUGAUACUGUUGAGCGUGAAACAGGACGAGGUUGGCGGAAUGUGGCAUGUAGCGGUGAAAUGCAUAGAUAUGCCAUAGAACACCGAUUGCGAAGGCAGCUGGCUAGACCUGAUUUGACGCUGAGGCACGAAAGCGUGGGGAGCGAACAGGAUUAGAUACCCCGGUAGUC